UGGCCCCCAGUUAGCUGCUCACUCCUGGGCGAUCUUCAUUAACCACAAGACAUCAAAAGCAAUGUCCUGUCACUUUUUGAAGCGGGCUGGAAAAAAUAGAAUCAUUUUCCAGGGGACAAAAGAAACAGCCUGGUCCAUAAUGUCAGUUUUGCUGCUGAAAAUUCAGGCAGAAAGUGUUGGAGUCACUGUGAGUGGCAGAGUUGAAUGCCCUGACAGCUGAGGGAAUGACCUAAGAGAGGAUGUAGAAACCUCUGAGAACAUACUGGAGAUGACAAAAAAGUGCCCCUAUUAAUGAACGACCAGAAAGCAAAAAUGUCUUUGGAAAUGCAUGGAGCACACAAAAAUAAUUUCAUAAUAAUUGGAGAAGGCAAGCUCCCUCUUCACCAAGUAGUAAAUGACUUGUUUAUGCCCAUGCCUGAGACUUCAUAUUAUUUUAUUAUUAAACAGAAAAUGUCCCAUCUUGGAUUUAACACUAUUAUAUAGCCCUGUUCCAAGACCUUUCCUCUUGAUUUAUCCUGGCCUAAGCAAGAAUAACAAAGUCGAGAUCUUGGUGGAAGACACGAAAUGUGAAUUACUGCCAGUUGUCUGUAGAGAUAAGCCUGAAAGGUCUGGAGGUUAUCAAGGAAGAGUUUGGCCGUGCAGAAGACAACGUUGGAAAAUCAGGUUUGACCUGGACCUUACCUGGAACUUGCUGACCUGACAGAGCCACUGGCAAAGGUUUGGGAAAGGCCUGGGAAUGGUUUGGGAAGGACUUAGGGCAGAGACAGCGUCUCACUAAACCUCUCAAGGUGAAUGUGACAGCUGUUCUCUCUUUACUAGAGCUCUUGCAACAACUUUUUACUCCUGCUGCUGAUACCCCAGUAUUCCAGAGGAAAAUUCAUUGCCUUGGCUGCUUGAGUGUGCCUGUGUCCAGGUGGGGAAUAACACAGAUAAAUAUAAAUGCCUUUCAGAAGGUGGGAGUGCCAGGGUUUUCCCCUACUUCCAGUGGUUGUUUUGGUUUCAGUUUUUGUUUUCUUUUAAAUAAAACCAAGCAAUUUAAGUUAAUUGCCUCUUUUGGGCGGGACAAGGCUGUUGCUGCCCAAGUAAUUUACGAGAAGCUACUUUCUGCAGAUUGAGAGGUUUUAUAGAGAAAAUUAUCAUCUGUAACAUGAGAGGUGCAAAAGUAAAAAAGUAAAAAAUGUUUGCCAGAUACCAGAAGUCUCACCUGCUUUGCACUUACCUACAAAUACUUUUCACUUUCUACAUUGUUCCAAGUGAUUGAUCAAAAGAAAUCUGACUUUGAUAUGCCAUCCUAAUUUUGUACUGAGACUAUACUAAAGUGAUUUUCAUUUAAAAAAAUCUCAAUCAUAAUUACCUAAUCAAUGCUGAUCAUGAAGGUAAAUGAAAAAUUACAGCUAUUUUAAUCUGUUUUAAACUAUAUAUAUAUCUAUAUAUAUAUGUAUAUAAAUUUGCUGUUUAUAAAGUUUGCCACCCGUUUAUUCAUCUGCAGCUUCAAUUUUUCCCCUCUCUCUCUGAAGGUUCAGAAGCAGAAUAAUAAGUGUUUUAUUCUCCCCAGGCAGACUUACCUGUUUUAAAAUUCAAAACUCAUAUAUUUGUAUAGUUUGUGCAGCAGCAACAGGAAUGACAUGUCUGUGCUUUGCCACGCAACCCCCCUGACAUCUUGCAAUCCCAGUUCUGUAAUGAUGUGUCUGUUACAAGGAUGAAAAGCAGAAGUGUGCCACAGGGAGUGAGAAAGAUCUGCUGACCUGGAACCAGUCAAAUCUGCAGAGACGUUGAGACUGAGUAAUGCAUGAGCCAGGAGCAGUACUUAACAAAGCAUAAAUUAAAACUUGGGAGAGAUCAAUUUAUU